rnacentral:lncRNA from 1 species
ACUAAAUGCAUUUGAAUACGUAAUUUGCUAUUUUUAGGAGAAAGUAUGUACUGUAUGCCACGAGACCUGGGUUCUAGCCAGGUAUUUACCUUGCUUUUUUUUUUUUCUGUAAGGGAAGAUUUUUAAAGGCCCUUUAGAUGAAGAAUAAUAAAGUUAUAGAAAAUAAUAAUAAUAAUAAUAAAUCAGGAAAGCCUAAUUUGGUCUGAUACUAAUUUUUCUCCUUCUCUGUCUGCCUUUUUCCUGGUCUUUUGAGAUGGACAUCAUUAGGAAGCUCCUGGCUGGUAUGUGGCCCGCAGUGUGUAGCCGUGGGAGGUAGUAACUUGUAGCGUGGCCCAGGCAGGCCCAAGUACUCUAUUCCUUUACUGUUAAUGAUACCAUGAACCCCAAAGCCAUCAUCGUCAUUGACACCAUGAGACUUUUAUAUGUGAACAAUGAUUUUACAUCCAAGAAGUAAAACAAAACAAAACAACGUUAUUCUUGUUUGGCCUGAACACUGAGGGUAGACAGGGUAGAGGGCAAAUUAUUACUCUCAUUUUAUAGUUGAUUAAAUUGAUUAUAGGAUUUGUCCAAGGCCGAACAUCUGGUAAGGGAUGGAUUGGAACUAGAAUUCAGACUUUCUGACAUUAGUGCUAAUGUUAAAAAAAAAAAAAAUUCUUUGGUAGGGCGUCAAAUCCAGUUUCAAUCUACAUUAAAAACAUUGAGAAGAGGC